rnacentral:rRNA from 1 species
UUGACCUCGGAUCAGUAGGUAGGAAUACCCGCUGAACUUAAGCAUAUCAAUAAGCGGAGGAA